rnacentral:rRNA from 1 species
UACGAAGGGUGCAACCGUUGCUCGGAAUUAUUGGGCGUAAAGCGCGUGUAGGUGGUUAUUUAAGUCGAGUGUGAAAGCCCUUGGCUUAACCGAGGAAGUGCAUCCGAAACUGGCGAGCUAGAGUACGAAAGAGGAUCGCGGAAUUCCCGGUGUAGAGGUGAAAUUCGUAGAUAUCGGGAGGAACACCGGUGGCGAAGGCGGCGAUCUGGGUCGAUACUGACGCUGAGGAGCGAAAGCGUGGGGAGCGAACAGG